AUUUGAUUCUGUUUGUGUUUCAGGACCUUCACCCAUAACAUGCUGGCCUUUGGUCUCAGUAAGCGCCUCUGUAACGACUUCCUGACGAAGCAGGCCGUCAUCGGAAAUCUAAAUGAAGAGCAAUACAAGCUGCUGAGAGAACACAUUGAGAAGAUGGCGGCAGAGUGAGGCGGAGGACGGCGCCGGUUUCUCUCCAGCUCCACGUCCAUUUCAUAUUUAUGGUGUUCAGUCCUGAAAAUGAUCAUCUCCAGUCUGUAAAGGGUUGGAUUAAGAGCAAUAAAAUAAGAGCAUCAUUUCUGCAGAGGAAGCAAAGUCCUCCAGUGUUCAUGGCGACGCCUCACGUCACUCUGGGUUCUGCUCUUCUUCCCUCUGAAAUGUGUCUCACGAAGGACUCGGCCUGCAGUGAUCUGAUGUUCAGACGUCUAUUUAUUUAUUUAACUGUUCUGUUGUUGUUGUUGUUCUCUGGCUUCACCUUUUAACUGACAGAAACGAAACCUUGAAUCUCCCACCCAUCCUACCUACUUCAUCAUCUGUCUUGUAAGGUCUCCCUGAGGACUCCCUGCUGUUACUUUGUGCUGUCACUAAGGGGCAGCAUUGCGCCUCAUAUGACUUCACUGCUCCACUGUGUGUAGCGCCUCCCUGUGGUGGCUCUUCAGAGGAAGGUUUUCUGUGCUGCUCCAUGUUUCCUGCCUGUGGAUCAGCAUCAGGUUUCCUCUCCUCACUGAGGCCCCUUCAGGUCCAUCAGUUGUUCUGGGUUUCAACCAUUUAAUGUAUGAUAUCAAUAAACCAGGUGAAUAAAUUGUAAAUGUGAUUUAAGGAUCA